rnacentral:tRNA from 1 species
GGCCUCGUAGCUCAGUUGGGUAGAGCGUUGGUUGUACUAAAUCCUUCCCCUUGCUGGCGUGGGUUCAAAUUCCACCGAGGCCA